GAGGUGGAGAGGUGGAGCUGUAACACAGCACGUGAAACCCACUCUUCUCCCAUCUAGUGGAUAAAGUCCAAUAGGAAUUAGAAAUUAAUAAAACCAAAUAAUGUUGCUGUGGAACAGAGGAAAUGAACUGCUAGUAGCUGAAUCCUCUUGUGUGCUCCUCAUGGUCCGAGACAGGGGUGUCAAGAUGUCUCUGGGAAACAGGACGGCAAGGCAAUCCAGAAAGCGCUGCUGGGAUGCUGCUGCCAUCCUGGCUCUGUAAGGAGCAAGGAAACCCCUCUACCCUUGUGGAGAAGCCAAGAUCAUCUACGAAUUUCUCUAACAAAAAAGGACAAGAUUUUGUACAAGUUUGGGAUCCCAGGGAAA